AAAGAAAUAAAUCAUUCAUAAAGCAUGGUCGAUUAAUAGUGCAGGAGGCUACCAUCUUCAAUAAACGACUCUUUGAAGAGGAGCAGAAUCUGUUUUGGGUUUUCUCCUCUUGGCCUAGCUCGAAGACCCUUUCGUUGAUUGAAUCUUAAUUGAGAGUUUUUGAUUGAGGGUUUCGAAGGAUGAUGGUAGCGAAAAGCUUCGAUCUUUGGCAAAAGGAUGUCUUAUUCUCCGCCGCCGAGGAGGUUCAACAAUCUGCCGAUACGAUGGAAUCUGCAUAUAGGUUGUGGAUUAAAGAGAAGAGAGAAAGUGGUCGAGUCUAUGUAGAAUCAGACCACCUCUGCAAUGAACUUCAAGCAGCUUUGAGCACAGCUAAAUGGCAGCUGGAAGAGUUUGAGAGGGCAGUGAGGUUGAGCCAUGGGCGUUGUCGAGACGACACCACGUUGACUAGGCACAAACACUUUGUCUCCGCUGUCGAAAAUCAGAUUCAUCGAGUGCAGUCCGCUUUGAGUGAGAACGGGGAACAGCCUUUGCGUUGGGUGGAUCUUAACAAAGAGGAGCGUGAUGACCUUGCCAUGUUUCUGUCUGGAUCUUCUCAGACAUCUGAGAGUUUCAGCAGUGAAAGCAUCAACUUGAGUAGAUGUUACGGUGACUGUGUGAUAGACAUUGACGACGAGAGAGGUAGCCCUGAAAGUGCUGGUAAUAGAAACGGUACAAGAAGAACAUGGAGUUCACCUAAUGUUCCUGAUAUUAGCGCGUUGAGGAUUAAUGUUCCUCUUGAAGAAGAGGAGAAUAAGAGAUAUGUGUCGCAAACAGAAGCUACUCCUAAAGAAAAAGGAUAUAAGCCUCUGUUUUGGAUGCAGAGAUUUCGUGAUUAUAACCAGCUCUUUGACAGAGUCAGAUACUAUCAAAGGCGGUUUGGGGUUCCAUUAAACCGACCGGUUCGCAUUCCAUUUAACCGACCGGUUCAGCUCAUUCUUUCCUUGGCGUUACUAUUGUUUCUUCUAUGUGAGUUCAUCUUCUCUCUAGGGUUCUCAUAUUGUUUCAUCAGAGUCUUUUAAGUUUUCUGUCUUUGUUCCUUCCCUUGCAGUACUCUUUCGAGUUUAUUAAUCUUGAGAACUGAAACUCUCAAGAACACUUGACAGAUUCUUGCGUGUUGGUCACACAACUUUAGAUGCUACAUGAUUCAACGUCCCUCAAGAAGGGCGAGAGAUUAAAAAAGGCUUUGUCAAGAACCAAAGGAGAACAAGCCUGGUUAUUUUUAUCUCUCUCAUAACCUCAGGGAACAUAUGAUAGGAACCUGUAAAGACAGUUGUAGAUCUAUUUGUAAAACUUGAAGCUACGUUUCUAAAGAAAACCAAUGCGUGUUGUGUUCAGCGAUA